GGAUCCAGAGUUAUAUAUGGUCCAUAUGGACUGUGUCUUAAAAAGUAGCUAACUAUAAUAUCUGGAGUUUUUUAUUUAUCAAGAUUAACUAUAUUCUGUUAUAUAUAGUCGCUAACUAAUUGUGUGGUUAUAUGUUAUUGUGGUCAGCUGUGUUACAUGGAAACGGAAGCGGAUACGUGGAAGCGGAAGCGUAUAGAAGCGCGGAAGCGAGAUUUUAAAAAAAGUUAGGAAGCGGGUACGUGUUGGAAGCGUAUACAUAUAUAAAUUUUUUUAAAAAAAUCUAGAACUAAAAAUUACAUGUUUAAAAUUUAAAAUAAAGCAUCUAUUCAUUUAUAAUAGUUUCCAAAUUAUUUCAUAUUAAAACUGUGAAAUACACAUAAAUUAAAUUUAAAAUAAAUUAUUAUAUUAAUUAUUUUUAUUACUUUAUAAUUAAUUGACAUCAUAUAUUUGAAUAUAUGAUUAUCUUUAUUAAAACCCUCAAUGCAUAAAGAUAAUUUAUAUUGUUAAUUUUUUAUAUACUUCUAUUCUUUCUAUUCAAUACUAUUAAAAUUUAGAUUUUAUAUAAAAUAAAAUUAUAAUUUUAUAUUUUUAUUGAUAUAAAACAUUGUGUUUUUUUUUAAGGAAUGGAAGCGUGAUUCCAAAACGGAAUCGUAAGCUUCCAACAUGUUUUUAAGAAGAAUAUUUUAGAAGCGUUUUGGAAGCGAGAUUCCGUAAGCUUCCACAAGAUUCUGAUUCCGAUUCCGAUUCCGAAGCGGACGUCCGAUGAAGCUUCCGUGCAACGUAGGUGGUCAGUACCGCUUGUAUAUGUUGAAAUAAUCAGAUAAGAUUACAUGUGUUGUAGUCUAUAUAAUUUCAUUUGUUGUGUGUGAAUAAUUAUGUUUGCAUAAGAGUUGAGAGCUUUCGUCGGACCAUUAUACUUAUCAUGUAUUAUU
rnacentral:lncRNA from 1 species